ensembl:lncRNA
CGUACCGUGACAGUGUGAAGUACGGCAGGAGAAUAUCAAACUGCCUGCUGCCGUGUAGAAAAAGGGCGCUGCCAGCAGAUGGCAGCAGAAUGGAAAAAUAAGCACAUAGGGAUGAGAUAGCGGACAAAAGAACUGAGAUUUCUAGCAGCUUAGUUUCACUAGCUGUUUUUGACUAUGCAAGGUAAGUUCAAGUUUAAUUGGAAAGGGGGAAUGUCCGAGGCAUGCUGACUUUUGAUGUGUAACCUUGGAGUGGAAAGGGCUCUAACCACUCACUUCUGAUUUCUGACAGAAGUUUUAAAACGAAACUUAUUUUAAAUAUAUUUACAGUGGUGUUUGCCUAUAAAACUUCUAACAUAUCACACUAGUCGUAUUCUGUGAAGAAUGAUUCUGAUGUUCUGCUGAACAAAUGCAUUGCAGCAGAAGAAACUGGCGAAGUAUUGGUUGUAACUGGGGCUGUCAACUUAUGCCCGGUUCAGAAAAGAAAGAAAGCCUCCAAGUUGUUUCUCUCUCACGUUUCUUACUUAGUGUUUCUCUCUCACUCUUCUUACUUAGAUUGCCCAGUGUGAGAAGCUGCAAAUAACUUAUACACUGUGAAUGUGUUUGGUGCUGCUUUUUCUUUGGUGCUGCGCGUGGGUGUGUGUGUGUAUUCCCAGAAGAGAAACAAGGAGGAGUGGAUGAGUAUUGCCAGGCACACCAGUUCAAAGUUACUUCUUAAACAAGGAUUUUUUAAGUAGACAAAUAUUAACCAUGGCCCACCAGAGAUGAGAAAGCUUCUCCAUCUAGGGACAAUGAGGCCUGGUCAGGAAAGUAGAUGACCUGGUUCUGAUCCUGCCAAUGUCUGCUGUGUGCCUGGCUUAGAAUGCAUUUCAUGGUCAGUGGAAAAAAAUGAGGAAGAGGAGGGUGUGGCUGCUGCUUAGAGAAGCUGGCUGUGCAUGCAGGGACUGGCUUUGGGGUUGUGAUCCUUCAACCUCACAGAAGGAAGACUUCUCCUAGUGAAAUCAGAAGAAAAGUAGUGCUGGAGCAGAGCACUUGAACUUGGAGAACUGGAGUUGUCAGUCACUGCUGAAGGUACAGGAAUAGUGGAUGGUAAGUCCUUUUAACGUUUCUAAGGUUAAGCACUGCAUGUGAAAUACGGCAUCUCCUGGGAUAAGCGCCAUCUCUUUUUCCUGUGUGUAGCCAGAGGAAAAAGCUGGGUUUUUUUUUCCUGCUGGAAUUACCAACGUGGUGGCCAUUUGUGACCUGGGCUGGCUGCCUGCUGUCGCGAGGCAGUGCUCGGGCUGGGAGCCCCUGGGCAGCAGCAAGAGGAUCGGGACCGGGCUGGGAGGCACCCGCACCUAUGGGGCUGCGGGCAGCUGGGGGCAGCGGUGCUGGGGCACCGGGGGGGGCCGGUAUGAUGUGGGCUCCCAAAAUCAUAGGAGACAGCGAUCUGCAGCGUGGAGCUGCCUUGUCUGGGCUCAGCGUGAGGAACGGACUGCAGUCUGUCAGAGCAUCAAGUCGUAUGCCUGGGUAAAGUGGAUGUGGUUUAAAGUUUAGUUGCACUGUCAAUAAAACAAAAUCACACUGUUUUACAGCUGAGGAGAUUUCUCCUUAUCUGACGUGACUUCGCCGCUGCCUAGCUUCCAGCCUCACAAAUAUAUACUGCAGUUAAAUUAGCCUCCAGGAAGUUUACAGCACAUUUAUGAUAAAUAAGGAGAAGCCAGUAAACAAAAUCUUAUCUGGGGUUUUGAUUUGUUGUUUGAGAUGUAAAUUUUCAUCAGUAGGAAUGGUAUACAAGAAAAAUAUUCAUAUCACCAGUUUGGAGCAUACAGCUCUGUGUAGUAAAAAAAAAUCAAAUAGUUGCACGAUAAACAAAAUUGCGUUGGUAACACCCUUUAAAAAACUGCUCAUGUCAUGCACUGUUUGAUACUUCCUUCCUCUGGGAGAAAAAAUAUAUUAAAAAACAAAAAGCUUGUCCUACUGCCAGAGUUUCCUUUGUGUUGGUACCAGCUUCGUGCCAAGUUUGCUGUAAAACAUUAUCGUUAAUAUACAGUGCACCGAAGGAAACGUUUUUGCAAAAUGCUUCAUUAUGUUGGUAGGGAUGGAUGCUGCAAAUGCACCCUUGCUCAGCUGUGCCUUUACAUUUCUGAAUCACUUACAUCCAAAUUGUCUGUAUUUGGUAUUUCGAAUGUUUUUUCCCCUCUAGGUUAAUAUGCCACUGAUCCUCUGGAAUUAAUGUGAGUUAUUCAAUGAAGUACGCUUCUAUGAUGCGUACAUCAGCUAUAAUCCCACAGAGCACCUUUAAUCCCAUCAGGAAACAAUGGGCAAACUGCUUUGCUUCUAUUUUUAUUUUUUAAAAGAUGCUUUUUAAAAAAAAAAAAAUCUCUACAAAUAUUAAGUACAGAUAUUCCUGGUGACGCUUUGCAUGACAUACACUGGCAUUAUUUUAUAGAUAUAAUAAGUAAAAAUUCAAAAAUAUGAAUUUUCACUCUUAUGGAUGCCUUUAUCUUAAAAGUGUAAUAAAUUCGAUUGGAGUAUUUUUCUAAAAAACGUCUACCUGGCCAUAUUUUAUUACACAUUUCUGAAGGUUGUUAGAUUAGAAACCCUCCAAUAUUGAAAAUGAUCGAUAUUAUUUUAGAAAGAAAAAAUCACUGAUCUGUAUAGAAAUGUUUUGAUGUCUGUGCUGCAUAAACUGUAGAUGUGAUACCACUCCAAAUUCAAAUGAAAGAAAACAAAUUAGUGCAUUAGAGAAGUAUGCGUAAAUGAGGCAGAACUUGUGAUAAAGGGAGAGAAAAGUGUUAUAAAAUUGUGUAAUAGCACAAACAAACUUCAGUUCAAAACUAUGGCUGUUUUAGAAUGCACAUCAUUUCAAAUUAUUCAGGGAUAAUGAGUGUUAAAAGAAUUCCUCUGCUUCCUUUUUUGGACUUCCAUUUCUCUUAAGUGAAGCUUGCGAGUUAGGCUUCCCUUAAUUGCUUUCCUGAAUCCUUAUUUUGCAGAACAGCAGUAACCUUCAUUUAGACGACUUGCCAUCUUAUUUUACAGCUAUGGUGACAGAUAUGAUGUAUUUGUCUAUCUCCUUGAAGAAGGAUAAUAUACAGUGAGCGAGGCUGAGCUGCAGUUGUGUAAAUGAGAUGCACUUUUAACCCUCGAAGUGCAGCAGUUAUCCCAGUUACGAGACAGGCAGAAGCAGAGAUGAAACUCAGCUGUCUUUGCAUUUUUAUGAAUAAAAAGUGAGAAAGGGAUAGGCACAAAGAGUAACGGAAAAGGAGAACCGUAUUUUUAUAUUAAAAAUACAAUAAUAAAUAAGGUGCUGAAAAUGGUGUCUCCGAGAAAGGGCAAAAAGUCAUUGGGAGAUCCCAUUAAAUGCAAGAAAAACACUGCCAGCUAAGCUAUUCGUACAUGUGAGCCUAAGCCUUUCUUAAAACAGCGGUCUGUCUUUUAUAUUACACUGGCAUCAGAAGUUGUUGAAUGCACUAUCACUUAUAAUCUCUUAACGUUUCUCAUCUGUGCAUGUCUGCUAAAAAUAAACACUAUCACAGACGUCAUUAUUUCAAAAUAAAAAUGCAAAGUUUUUAGUGGGAUACUGCGGCUAUCUGUUGCUAAGGCUGUACUCCAGAAGUUACGCUUACUUUUACUUUCCGAGCACUCAAGAUUUAUGAACACACAUCGACAGCCCAUACACAGCAGACACAAAAGUUAUUAGAAGAAGAGUUCAGAAUUCCUAGGUAUGAUUUUACCAACAUAAAACUUUGUGGGAAAGCUGCUGCUCAAAUAUCUCGUCAGAUACAUCCUGAUAAUCUCUAGUAUGUUUUUACUGUAAUUCCCGAAAAAUAAAUAUUAAAAACGUUUUGUGGUUUCACACUAUUAAAAAAAAAAAUAGAAACUGGUAAGUGCAGACCAUAAAACAUGUAUCUGGCUUACAAAGGAACUGUUUAUUCUCCUCAGAAUGCCAGUGGUGAGCAUUUUCGUGAGAUUUGAGGCCGGAUAAAAAUGUGCAGCAGAGGUUCCCUAAAUAUGUCACUGCAGUGCAUUCACGAUGUGGCUCAGCCAGCCGUUCGGAGACCCACAUGCCACUCUGUGCUUUCUAGACUUAGCUAAUAUUGUGCAUUUUAAUAGAGCAGAUGUAAUCACAUCUACUGCGUUGUGUCUGGAGUGUCAUGUCUGAAAACAAUGAGAUGGGUUUUAAUAUACUUUAUAAUAUACAGGGGGAAAGCAUGUCCUGCUAAAUGCAGGAUACCCUGUUCUUUGUAAUUCUUGCUUGUAGCAAUUGUAUCAGGCAGAGUGCACGCAGCUCUUGGGAUGGCUGCGUUACAAGCCUACUGUAAGUAAGUCUGUCUGUCACUGUCAUUACCACAGCAGAUCACUUCAAUACUAUAUUUUUAGAAGUCAGUGAGUUUAUGUAAGAGGGAAAUGCAUCUUAAAAAAAACCUCUGUGGCUGUGAAGACCUCUUCUAUUUUUUGGAGGAACUCGCAUUUCAAAGCAGUAGGUUUGAGAGCAGCCACUAAGUGUGUGUGUGUGGGGGGGGGGGGGGGGGUGAGGAUCUGCGAGUUGCAAGGAAUAGGAACACACAUCUACUGUUUUUCCAUCUCGCUUUUUCUAUCACCUCACAAUCAAUACUUAGCGGAAUAAGACAUCAGUAUCUUUUCUUCCUCAGGAAUACUUUUUAAAGUGUUAGAAACAGCGUGGUAUUGACUUUUCCAGUGAGCUGAAACUGUCCGGCUGCGUUAAAAGUAUAUCAGGGGAGCAUCGAUAGCAUAAGCAAAAUAAAUAUUAAAUCAGGGGGACAACUACAACUUUCCUUAAGUAGCCAUGUAAUCCCUUUUUCCCUUUUUUCUGAUGGUAACGUGCUUUCCACAAAGAAGACUUCACGAGGUUGAAUCCUGCAGUCCUUUUUUUUCUUUUCUUUUUUUUUUUUUACGAAGGGCAAAGCAAAUGCUCCACAACGCUUUUUGUUAGGAAAGCACUUAAAAAAAUUUGAAUAUACCAAUAACAGAAAAAGUAUAUAUAUUUUUACUGCAACCAGGAGAUCUCAUUGGUUGAGUGAAAUGGCGAGAUGUGACGCAAAAGGACACUUGGACGGGUAGAAAUGCUGAUGUAUGCCAAAGCAGGCGUACCAAGAAAUGCUGUUGCUAUGAGAGAAACAGAGGGAGAGGGAGAUCGUGAGAGAGCAAGUUGUGGAGGCCUUCUUUUCUCCCUUUUGGCUCGCGUCACAGACUGCUACAUCUCAUUCCUAGCAGGGAGGGUUCAGCAGUCCUCGGUGGGCAUUUUCCUCGGACCCAGCAUCCAGAGGAAGGGAAGGGAGGGUUUAGCAGGUCACCUCGGAAUGCGAGAGCAAUGGGAAAGCAGGAGGGUGUAUGUGCUACACCAGCGAUCUGCGCUACGAUAGACACACAAAUUAGUACAGCAGAUGAAGCAGCUUAGCUCGUUAUCCACCUGUAUUAAGGCUCGCAACUUACAAGUUACAGAAUUAAAAUGCACGGACGCACAGAGACACAGACAGAUGUAUAGUUACAAUGCCCCCACCUUUCGGCUCAUGAAUUAUCCAGCUGGGAUAGCGCUGCCUCUUGUGUGACAUUCUUACAGAGCUGCAAUGAAUUCACCUUGUGAGUCCAUCAGCCGGAGAAGGAGGAGAAUCAUUUGCAGGACAUUUAUUUUUUUUUGCCUUUCUUCUUCGGCAAGGGGGGAAAAAAAGUUUGCGCUAUGAACUUAGCCUAGCAGCUUCUGGAACCGGAGCCAAAAGGGGCAGGAAGUUGUUUUACAAUAGCGUUACAGUGAUCUGCCACAAAUGGAAAAAGCCAAAUGUUGGACUCCGCAAAGAGAAAAAAUAUUCUUCUCUCCCUCGCCUCCAUUCUCCUGCCCCUUCAGAGGGAAAAAAAAAAAAAAAAAGUAGGAAAAGGAAGGUUUGCUAGAAGCCCUUUUCAUUUUUAAUUACUUUUGGUAAGUAAUGGAAAGAUUAUCUUACUUGCAUAUUCCAUGGCAAGCACAAGGGGAAGAAGUAUCAAAGGGACGUUUGAAAAAAACGCACUCAGUAACUAGCAACGGGACUUUUGGCACAAUUCCUCGAGUUUGCUUGAGGUUAUGGAGGGGGAUGGGAAGGAGAGGAGCGAGUCUACGCAGUACAUUUUCCUUAAAAAGGGGAGGAGGAACGGAGGCAAAACUGCAUAAAACUUUUUUUUUUUUCUUUCCCUUAAGGAAACGUGCAUUGCUCUUCUGAAGCUGAAUCCUCAGGCAUUCGUGGCCCGUCUCUGCAGCCCGAUGUGUUUUUUGUGCGUGUGUGUAAGCGCUCUCAAUCAAACAGAAAUCAUGGCAGCUGUUUUUCUUCCAGCACAGCAGUUGAGCUGUCUCGCCCAAAUGCUUAUCAGCUUUUGACUCCGUGCCAAGAUAGUUAUAAGGGCCAAGCAGCCUGCGCUUGGCUGUGCAGCUGGUGGAGGAGCGAGGGCAUGAGAAAACAGAAUCACCCAGCUUUUUUUGUCACACACACCAUCUACUUUUUUUUUUUUUCUUUUCCAAUCCCCGUUUUCAGCCCCGUGGGUCCUUCCGAGCAGCUUUUUCGCGGUCCCCGCAGCGCUUUCCUACAGGGCCGCAUCGAGAUAGGAGUCCAGCGCUCCUCGUUCUAAUCCCGGAAGAUAUUUCCAGAGGACCUUCCUUUCCUUUCCCUCCCACUCCCCCCCCUCCCGCCCCCAAUUAAAAGCUCCAUCAGCCGGCCCCGCUGCCUCUCCUCACGGCUGCUCUGUCCUCCGCGGCCCGCACGGUCCCGGGCCCUCGCUGCGGUGCGCUGUGCGCGGCCGUUCGGCAGUGCCGUGCCGCGCCGCCCUCCCAUCGCCAGCCCAGGCCCUGCGCCGCGCCAACGCGGCCUCCUCCGCCUCUCGGCUCCAGUCGCUGCGAGGGGGAGGCCGGACUCUGGAACGAGGCUGCUGCCGCCGCUUGCAUUCCUGCUGCAAGGGCCUCCCCUUCAGACGGCCUUUGCCAGAGCAGAACUUUUAAAAACGCUGUACAUAGGCGCUGCUGCUUUUUCUCCUCUUCGUCUCUCUCUCUCUCUCUCUUUCUCUCUUUACUUAACCCUCCUUUCACUGCUGAAGAACGGAUUAAUUUUCCGUCUCUUCUGCGCUUGGCUCGGCCGUACUGUAUAUCGUUGCAUUGAGGUUAAAACUCCCGAGUAUUUUCCCCUCCGCUGAUCCUUUUCUCUCCCUCUCUCUCCUCUCUCUCUUUUUUUCCUCGGUUAAGGGGAAUUGAUUUCUUUGGCCGAGCUAGUUUGUAUGCUGUGAGAACGAGGGCUUUUAUUUGUCACGUCCCCCCCCCCGCCCCCUCUCCCAGUACCGGCACACCGCGCAGCUCACGGAACGGCCGCUCGCCCUGCCUGCCUCUCUACUACAGCUCCGUUCCCGUGGCUGUAGGUGUCCGUGCCGCACGGAGCGGGGCUCCGGUUCCCCCCCCCCGCCUCCCCGAGCACUCUGCGAUGGCCGACACGGGGGUGUGCGGCGAGCGGGGGCCGUCUGCUCCCCGCGGCGGAGGGGAGAGGGAUGUGUAGCAAAACGCUGCCUCUGGGACAGGUGCCAGCUCCCAGACAAAAGGAGUGGAAUAGGCUGUAAAGAGGGAGGGCGGGGGGGGGGGGGGGGGGGGGGAAUUAAUAGCCGGCAAAAAAUAGGAGCCGCGAGCCUCGGGAGGAGCCCUGGCGGGAGCGCGCUGCCUUGCCGGCCUCUUCGCCGGGUAUUCCCGAGCUGCAGGGCGGAAGGAGAAAGUUGUGGCAUACUUUUUAUUCCUGUCUUCUCUUCAGACGUUGGAAAGCGUGAAGGGAGGGUGGAGGGCGCCUUUUUUUUUUUUCUUCUUCUUCACCCUCCUCUUACUGAAUUAUUCAUAGUGUCAGCGGUGAAGCCAGGACUAUUAGCAUGCAUCAGACAUGCUGUUUGUCUGUUUGCUAACAUUCUUCAUUCAAGACUUGUUAACUACCAGACAAGCUUAACAUGCUUCUCUCUUUCUCCUCCCCUUCUCUCUCCCUCUCUCUCCCUCCCCUCUCCCUUCCCUUCCCCUCCAUGCCACCCCUCGCAGCCUCCCAUUGUUGUCGCUGGGAGCUGGCAGCAGCUGUGGCAGGGGGAGCGUGCGGAGGAGCCGCCAGCCGCCCGCUAGUGUCUCAGCCUGGAUGUAGCCCAGAUUUGUGAAAUGCACAGCAGUAGAAUUUGAGUUUUCAAGUGAAAUAACUCUUCCUUGUCUGAACCGUCCUUCAAAAUGCGGGAUUAGAAGUUUCCUACCACAUCAUCUUCAGGACUCCCAGAAAAUUCUUCUGCAGCUUGUGGCUGCCCGGAAAAGGAUGUUGUAGUAGUCUGGCAAAAUGAACUCAAGAUGCACAAGAAGAACAUACUAGAGACUGAUCUGCAAGGUGUUCAGGUUCACUGAUAAGAUGCAAACCAGAAUCUGCCUGUUGGUUAUCUAUCCAGACAUGUUUCAGAGCUAAUAAGGGAGACUGACGAGUACCAUGACUUCAAACAGAAGCAUUUUGAGAAAUGACCUAGGGGGAGCCAAGUUACAAGAUGAACUCUAACCAAGUUAGAAGAGGAAAUAAGUGAAGAUUGGUCAUGUAUGCAAAGAAAAUGACAAGGUUUUGUCUCCCGUGGAUGCUGGCUUCACCCCAUUUUUCCCAUUGGGAUCUGCCAAACUUCAUUUCUGCCCUUGAGAGCUAGGAAGCACAGCCCAGGGUGAGAUGCUGCUGCUGCUCCCACAGCUGUCCAUGUCACGCCCGGCAGCCAUCUUAGGCUGGACAGAAAGCCCUGGCCAGCACAGCAAAUCAGCUGGUUAGGGGUACCCCCUGGGCUGAGGUGUGAUGGGAUAACAACAACGGAAAGAGAAAUCUGGUGCUGUGAAUGGCCCUCUGAGAAAAUGUACGGAGAAGCUUGUGUCUGCUUUUUCACUUGCUGUCACUCACCUUACAACUGUUUCAGUGUGCACUAAAAUGAAGUUGAAACAUGCGUGUUUUCUUUUUCGGCAUCCCCAUAGUGAUUAUGCUAUGAGCAGUGGAAGAUCCCAUCGGUUGCUCUGAAACGUGACCUACCUACUUUGAGGUGAGAUCUGUUUUGUUGUAAAGCAUGGCUUUAGUUUUUCUGUGUGUAUCAUGGAUUCUUGUCUUUAAUUUGCAGUUAACAACAACAAAAAAAAAGUUUUCCUUAGUGAAGAGAAGGCUCCGGGGAGACCUCAUAGUGUCCUUCCAAUACUUGAAGGGAGUACCCCUGUUUACAGGGGUAGAUAGUGAUAGGGCAAGGGGAAAUGGUCUUAAACUGAGACAGGGGAGGUUUAGGUUAGAUAUUAGGAGGAAGUGUUUCACACAGAGGGUGGUGAUGCACUGGAACAGGUUGUCCAAGGAGGCUGUGGAUUCCCCAUCCCUGGAAGCAUUCAAGCCUGGUCUGGUGGCUGGCGACCCUGCAUAUAGCAGGGGGGGUGAAACUAGAUGAUCUUUGAGGUCCUUUUCAACCUAGGCCAUUCUAUGAUUCAGUGAUUCUAAGUUAGCUUAUUAAGUUGGAGUAUUUGUUUGAAAUUUUAUUUGUUUAUAUUACAGGUAUGGACUGAUAUCAUAGUUUUUGUCACUUAUUUGGAUUUUCCCUGAGUGCGAUGUGUUGCAGUCCAUCAGACCAGGUGGUGGGGAGUGAGAGCACCCUCAACCUCUAGUGUUGGUGUGAGGUUACAGUACACUAGUGGCAAUUUUGCUAGUCAUAUUAACCAACGUCUGUGUAGUACAGUAGAGUACAUUUAGUUUAGCCAUUGAUUCAGUUGUGAGGUACUGUCCUUUAGAAGUAGCAUGUUGCUUAAGUAAGCCAUAACACUUUCUGACAGUCACCAAAUUCUUGGUUCAGUCUUAUAGAUUUACCCAUGCAGAACUUGGGAAAGUCAGUAAGAGCAACUGAGCUGUUCCGCACUAGGAUAAGAGAGGAAUACCUAGAAGGCAAUGCAGAACAAAUCCCUCUAAUUCAGCAUUUAUUCUCUAAGUCACUGUGAUGCCUUUCUUGAAGUGACAAAACUGGUUUGUUAAGAUGCAGUCGUGUCAGAGCUGGAAGUACAAAAGUGCAUUUAUUAAAAAUGAAUUCUGUAUCCUCUUCCCUCUUGUGUAUCUUGUCACUGACAUGACUCCACACAUUGCAAAUAUGUGAAACUUUUAAAACAUGAAACUAGAGCUCAUUAAGCAAAAUGUCAACUGGUGUAUAGCAAACUCUUUCAGAAUGAAGACUGAUAAUAUUUGUCUCCAGAGUUUUUUGUCUUCUAGGUCAUCACCAAGCCAUCCAGCUUUCUGGGAAUAUAGUUUGUGGUUUCUGUGAUCGGAGUCUGACUGUCCUUUGGGGUGAGGUAGUAGGUUGUAUAGUUUUAGGGUUAUGCCCUGCCUGUCAGAUAACUAUACAAUCUACUGUCUUUCCUGAAGUGGCUGUGAUAUCAUCGCUGGAUAUGCCUUCAAAAUGCAAAGCAAAUAUAUUUCAACUGUAACAUUCUCUGGCUCUGUCUUACGUGUUGGUUUUGAUUCUUACAAAAGAAAUGUUCUCAGAGUGUUUCAAUUCCUCUAUCGUUUGGAUUGGAAAGCGAUUUCCUUUUUUUCAUCUUCUCCGAGAAAGCGGGGUGUGAGAGGGCCCAGAGGUACAACCUAUGCUUAUGCUCAACUUUCUCCAUCUGCCAGUGUGCUCUCAAGAGUGGCCAUUUGGAAAAAGGUGAUCCAUUUCUUCAUUGCUUUGUGGCAUUCGUGUUAUACCAAUGGCAAGUGCCACUUCUUCAGCAGUUAUGUAAAUCCACCUAGCGUAAUUUGUUUGAGGAAACUAACAAGUGAUGACUUGGAUAGUAAUACAAAGAGGAUGUCUCAUUUUCUGCCCUGGAACCAGUAAAUGCUUGACCCCUAAGUGAAGAGAUUUUUUUUAGUCAGUUUUUGAAUUGUGACUUAAUAUAUGUUUUAUUACAUAAUGCAAAUUUGGGAAGGAGAGUGCUUUCCACUGCAGUUGUUCUGCCUGUAGAGUCACCCCACCAAUUCUGAUGGACUUCCAGGAAGAAAUCUGAGGAAGGGCUGACAGGACGUAAUGAUGCCCUUUUUGAAAGUAAGAAAUGUGGGCUAGAAAGUGUGUAGGGAAUCUUACUUAUGGUAGGUGAAAUGUUAGUUUGCUUCAGAAGAUCCGCCUGAUGCUCUAACAGGAUGAGGUAGUAGGUUGUGUGGUUUCAGGGUAGUGAUUUUGCCCCAAUCAGGAGAUAACUAUACAACCUACUGCCUUCCCUGAUAGGCAGCGUAACAUCAGUGUCUUAAUUCACAGAAAACCAAGGGCUAAAAUAGACAUUUGUGACCAGCAAAGUAAGUCUACAUUCAAUUCUUGUUACCCUGUCCCUAAUACCUCUAACUUCAGUGUCUGGCAUUAUUUUUAAUAACUGCCUACAAAAUAAUUAUCUCUUUUAAAGUCUCUAUAGGGAAAAAUUUGAAUUAAAAAAAGUUUUGCUAUUCAAAAGUUUGUCUGUUCUUGAUUUGUUUUGUUUCUGGUUCAUUUCAGAGGAAUGAAAUUUUCAGGGAAAUGAUUCCAAAAAUGCUGUGGACUUGCAUUCAAGCUGUUCAUAUUUCCUGGGCAUUUUAGCUCGAAUGCAACAAAUUUUACUAGCAGUGCACUGUUUUUGUUCAGCCCUCUGUCCCUCUCAGGAAUCUUCCUGUCUUUUACAAAUAAUUGUCACGCAACGCUCUCCAGCGGAUCAAUUUUAUAAUGCAAAUAAAAAGCUGUGGUGAUGAAAAUCAGGGGCCGGAUUGAAAAGACAAAGACAGACAUUGAUUUUGUAUCAGCACUUGCUCAUAAGCAGUCUCAUUUCAUGGCGUUUAAACAGUCCUGAAAGUGAAUUUGCUGACUAUCUAAAAGGCACAGAUUGUACCUGGAAAAUCAUGGCCAGGGAAUGUUAGUUGAGUCCAUUAAAGACAUUCUGAAAUACAAACUAUAGUCUUAAUGCAAGAGGAAAAAAAGAAAGAAAAAAAAAAGAGAAAAACCACCCCAACUGUGGAAAUCAUUCUUCUACAUGCAAAACAUUUCGGGAAAUGAGAAUGAUGUAAAACUGAAGGAUAACUUAAUUUCAGAGGUUUCAAGCUGGUUACAUAGAGUCAUUUGUGUGUAUUUUAAUUAUACAGCAUCUGAUUACUGUAAAAUGGAAUAUAAAUUUAAGGUUGUCAUAUGUGUAGCUAGGCAAGCCCAGACAUCCAUGGUUAGAGCAAAUAAACUGAUACUACAUUCAGCAGCAGAACUGGGUAUUUCAUUGCUUCUCUUGUCCAAAAAUAUGGCACGUAUCUGGACGCUGAGGGUUUUUGAGGUCAAUGAAUGCUUCAAAACAAGGCCAUUUGUUAAUACCUUUGUUAAACAGUUAGGAAUGUUAUUUAACUUGUGUUCAUAGAGAUAAAGGCAGCUGGUAGAAGAAGAAAAAUUACUCUGUGUCUGAAAAACUCAGGAGAGUAGGCGAUAAUGUGGCUGGUUUUAAUCUUCUCACUGUUUAAAGAGGGUCUCUUAAAAAAAAAGAUAAAACUGCUGUAAGGAUAGUUGCCAUGCUGGCCAUGUUCAAUGGCUCUCGGUCAUGCAUUGCGAAUCCUGAACUCUUUCUUCUGCUGGAAAUGCAGGCCCACAGCUGCAGCAGAAACAUCUUAGAGGACUGUGAGUAGUGAUUGCGCUGUGUGAAGCUUAAAACAUGCUGCUCCUCUCCAAGAUGCAAAACUGGCUGGAAAUUUCUUGCUUAGUUUUACAUUCAGUACAUACGUAGCAAAUGUUCCAUACCGGUGAAAGGCGUAAGAAGAGGGAAAAUGUUCUCCACAUUCUACCACAGCCUGUUAGAUCUCAUCCCUGAAGUCAUUUUAAAGUCUUCUGGCUCUGUCUGGAUCAGCGUUGUGUUCUUGGUAAUGAGCUGUGAGUUUUCAGAUUCUGGUCAUCCUGGCAAUCCUAUUAAAACAAAGGGCCAAAAAAAAAAAUCCAUGGUGUUUGCUUCACUAGGUUCUACAUGUGCCUGUACUUAGCAGUGUGUGAGCCUGCAGUUAAUCAGGUCUGUCCCUAGCAGUAGGUGUCAUUACAGCUAAUGGGAACUGCAACAGAAACUUGAAAGCACAGCUCCAUGGUGCCAGAUGUUUUUCAGAAUUGUAUACAGAAAAUGCUUGUGUCAAAACAGAAGUAGUAGCUUCAGCUGGAAUUCUUAUUAAAAGCAAGGGUGUUUUUUUAAACACAAGACAGUAUUAGUUCUUUCUGAGGUCAUGCACUGCUCUGUGGCACUCAUUAGGUGAAAGCAUGCAAUCAUAAGCUACGUAACAUGCGAUUUUAAAACCUAUGUGUGCUUAAGUUUGUUAUUUUGGGUUUUUUUUUAGUGUAACAGCACUAACUGAUGAGCAGAAGCUGAGUAUCUCCUGCUGGAACGAAGCCUGUACACUUGGUUAUAGCAGACCAGGUGAAAAUCAGUGCACGCAGGACUUUCGGUGAGGCCAGGAUUUUCAUAGAAUCAUAGAAUGAAUCAUAGAAUGGCCUGGGUUGAAAAGGGCCACAAUGGCCAUCUGGUUUUAGCCCCUCAGCUAUGUGCAGGGUCACCAGCCACUAGACCAGGCCUCCCAGAGCCACGUCCAGCCUGGCUUGGACUGCAUCCAGGGACGGGUAUCCACAACAUCCUUGGGCAGGUGGUGUUAGUUCUCCUUUUCUGCCUUGGAGAGGGUGUGUUUUUCCUGAGACAAGAUCAGUCACACAGACAAUAAAACCAUCAAUCAAAUUUCUGCCUUGAAGGCUACUGCUCACAGGUUUUAUAUUUCUGCCUCAUGGAUGUGUGGAACAUUACACAUCUUCUAUGAGCCCUUUCAACGUGUGCUGUGUUUUUCAGUUUUACUUUAACAUGCAAAUCUCCCUAUUCUCCUAAAACAAGUGCCCAACACGAAAUUUUUGUCUCAAUUUGAUAAAAGACUAAAAGAGAUGAAAAUGUUUUCAGACCAGCUGGAUAACUCUGGCAAAAGUGUGUGCUGCUAGCUGCAAAAACUUGCACUGCUGCUGUGCAUGGGUGCCACGAGGUGCGCGCUGCGAGGCUGUACCCUUGGGGCUGCCCUGAGAGGGCAAAAGCCUUGAAGACAGAAGUAGUUCCUGAGAUCUUCCCUGAAAGGGUGAAUUACAAAGGAGAUUUAUAUAGGGAGUGGAUGCAGAAAUGCAGUAAGACCAUAGCGGGUAUGCCAGCCGGUGUUACAGAUUCAGCAUGACAUACCGAAUUGCUAUACAGGAGUCAGAGAGAGCUGGUGAAAAAUGCCCGCCUUCCUUAUGCUUGCAGAGCUUCCCCACCUGCUCCUAGGACUGUGCUUCAAACAGGGGACAAGUAUUAAAUGAGAACUAAAUUUCUAGGAGUCAUCUGUGAUAAUACACACCGUUCUGAGAACUGAAGGUCUGAAUGUAUCUUAAUUACCGUGAGUGUGACUGUGCACAGCAGUUACCUUAGAGAUGUCACAGCAAAAAGCUGUUUGGGCUUGGAGAUUUUCUGUAACUAAUGCUAUACAGUUCUCAGAAUAUAAAUACAUGCUAAUUAUGGGAAUAAUGGUAGUAAAGAUUACUAAAGGAAUCAUUUCUGUUGUGGAAUACAUAAGCAAAUCAAAGGUGGGAAAGUGUGGGAGGGACAAAAGCCAAGUAUCACCAGCUCUAUCUGGCAGAGAGGGGCGGUGUUGCACAGCCUCCAGUCAUGGCCAUGAGCUCCUGGUUGCACUCAAACACACUGUCCUUUGCAGUGCUUGAGCCCAUGGGAGGGCCCAGGUCCGUAGCUGUGCUGGCAUGGCUCUGAUGAGCGUGGCUCUAAGUGAUCUGAGGGGGUACCCAGCUAACAGCUUGAAGUAGAAAAACUGAGGGAUAGGAGAUGUGAAGAUACCUACAGGGAUCUAGGGCUGAGUGACUUAGAUGUCCAGAUCAUAGAUGAAAAAUCAGUGCUAGCACUGCUAAAAAGGCAAGACAAAGGCAUCAAAUAAACUAGGCCAAAUGUCCCUCUGAUUGUCAACUAGAUCUGUGUUCCUAAGUUACUUUGGCACUUUUGUUUAACAGUUAUGAUUGCCAGUUGUGCUCAGUAUUUGAUCAUAGGAAGGCUUUUGUCUGGUUGUGGAACACUGCUCAAGCACUGUCUCCGGCACAAAUCAAAACCAGAUGAGUCACCAGGUUAAGAGACAACCAAGUUGUAACCACGUUGCCUGAUGUGGCUUAUUUUUGUGUUCCAGCCAGGGCCUGAAGCUCUUACUAGAGAUUUUCCCUGUCCAGCUUGCAUAUUCAAACGUAAGCAAUCAUAGUUCCAUCCUUGGGGAGCCCAAGUGGGUUUUCCCAAUGCAUACAAAGGCAUUAGCCUGUUAAAAAGGUCUCUCAAUCAACUGAAAGUGUGCAGCAGUUUGCAUAUUAGUGCGUGUUUUUAAUUAACACUUGGAAGAGAGAAAUACUUGAUGCACUUAAAAGUGACACAAAUAAAAGCACCUUUCAUAUAUUCUCAUUGUAAACAUCUAAAGUGAAAAUAAAGUAAUUUCUGAUCUCAUGGAAGGCAGUUGGUAUUUACAGAUUUAUUUAUAGAUUUAUAUAGGUAUUUAGUUAUAGAUUUAUACAGGUAUUUAUAGAUCAUUCCAAAAGUAAGGCCUCCUAUUUAUUUCCAUGGAUAGAACAAUAGAACUGUUUGAUAAGAGCAAAUUCUCAGCUACAAAACACUAUCUUUCAAUAUAGUCAUAACCAUUAGCUAUGCAUUUUCAUCAGCGAUGAACAAGAGCCUUUAUGUUGUGUUCAUAAAAACCUCCACCAGUGGAGGUGACCCACUGUUUCACAGCUGCUGUGAAGGUGUUGUAGCUAGGAAAAUGUUGCCCAUGCAAUCCAUCUUUCAUCAGAGCAAACAGAUGGAAUUCAGAAGGUACCAAAUCUGGACUGUGCUGUGAGCAUGGUAGGACAGCCUAGGCACGACUGGCAGUGUGCUGCACAGUCUUCCAACUGGGGUUAUAGUCUUAACAGUGUUGCAAGAUAAAGAUCGUUUUCUCUGGCCUGACUUUGGAAAUUCAGGCCUUCAGCUUAGUCAGCGUCACAGUGUAGGAGGCAGUGUUGAUGGUGGGUCAGUGUUCCAGGAAAUCCAGAAGGAUCACCCGUUUCCUAUCCCAGAUAGUGUACAUCACUUUGCCCGCUGAGGGCUGCAUCUUGACCUUUUUCUUUGAUGGGGGAUUUGCAUGUCACCAAUCCGUAGAAUGCUGUUUUGACUACUGUUAGCACUAUGUCCUGUCACCAGUGAGGAUGCAAUCCAGGCAACUGUCACCUUUGGCGGUGUGUUGGUUCAAUGGGUCCUGAAAAACUUGCAUACGGUGUUAUUUCUGUUCCUGUCUGAGUAUUUGUGGGACUCACCUGGCUCAAACUUUGCAGUGUUCCAACAUUGCCACCAUUGUUUCCUACACAUUAAAGUUGAUAUUCAGCUCCAUACACAGUUCCCUGAUCAUAAUCUGCCAAUGGACCUGGAUGAGCUGAUGGAAAUGCUCUUCAUUUCGUGGUGUGACAGAUAUGCAUGGCCAUCCAGAAUGUGCCUUUCUUUCAUGUCACUGUCACCACUGCUGAAAUGCACCACCCACCGCCUCAAUGUGCUCAUACUCACCGUUUGGUCUCCAGAAACAUUCACCAAGUGUCAGUGAAUGUCAAUGGGUGCCAUUUUUCUACAUGGAGGAAUACAAUGACACACCUUUGCUUCAGAUGUACUUCCAUGUCAGAUGCCAUUAUGGCUGACUACUCCUCUGCUGUCAUCUGUCACAUGGUAACAAAAUGUAAUGGAAUACUGGCAGGAAGGUUCAACCUCUACUGCCGAACCACCAACAUCCACCACUGAUUUCAUGGUCCAACAUAAUAGAAGGGGAGGCAUUACUGUUGGAACAGCUCUGGUAGCUUUUGUGAAAACUGGCAGCUUAAUCUUUUUUCUGUCACACACCUGGACAGGUUUUUCAACCAUCUCAAUUUUGCUGAUGAAAACAUUUCACUUCUUGUGAGACUGUGGAGAGCAAACCCUGGCUUGCUGCACCCCAUGGCCUGGAAGCUCCAGGCCCAUCUCAGCCGUCACAGCCUCUUCUGAGCAGGUGACUCCCAAGUGGCCAUUACACGCUUAUCUCUCUGGAUUUAACCUGAACUUGGUACCUUCUACAUCUGCUAAAAAGCUGCCCUAUGAGCUUGACCAAUGGGGUUCCAGCAACCACUACUUGAAAAUCAGUUUGGAAUCCCAUAGGUCCUAUUCUUAUUUAGCCUUGGCUUGCUGUUGCAUCACAGUGACCUCCACUGUGGCUAGAAAUGCGAGACAUAGACUAAUAAUUUCUUUCUCUCCUGAAGUUUCAACAUGUCCAAAACCUUUGGUUAUAUUUUCUUUUCUUUUUUUUUUUUUUUUACCAUUUUACCACAAGUAAAAUACAGUGAUUGAUGGCCCAGAGUUUAGUGAUUUAACUUUUGUUUCUUCAGAAAAUCUCACUGACAUUUUGAAGUUCGAAUGGACAAAUUAGUUUCCACUUCAUUCCCCUUUGCAUUUCAUUAGCUUUCCCAAAACUUAAGAAAUUUUCAGGCCUUCCGUUGUAGCAAAAUGAGAACUUUAAAAUUCAUUAAGCCUUAGAUAUUCAGUAUGCUGUACCAAGUGACAGAAAAGGAAAUAAGAAAAGUGAUCAUUCCCAAGUUUCAUUAAAAUUUGUGCAGAAAGAGAAUAUCCUUCAGAAGUGUUCCACGCUUGAAAGAAGAUUUUCCAUAUUAAAGCAAAGGAGAAUGUGUUACCCAGUGUAUGGCGCUGUGUCUGUCACUCAAGCUAGUCCAAGUUUCUAAUGAUUGAGCUGUGUGUGUUACUUUGAGUAAGUGAACGCAAAAUAAGGAACAGUUGUUUCUAAUGUGAAGCUAAAACAGCUACAGAAAGUACCCUCAACUGGAAAUCGUGUGUUCCUGUGUUCAGCUCCUUGAACUCUGCCAAAUAUGUGCAGCUGGAAGAAAAGAAGUGGUUUGACUGUCCGUGAGCCAAAACACAUGGUGGUUAGUUUGUGCGGGUGAUGCCAAGUGGAGGUAAGCAUGUUGGAGCACAUGAAGGGAACAGGGCAGGAGCUGGUUUCGGCCUGCUGUUGCACACUGAGCACAGCGCUCCGGCGUCAAGCAGCAGCAGGCCUCAUUCAGCAGCCUCUUUCCACCAAAGUAAGCAAUGGGACGAGGUGCACAUUUUCCCAAUAUUUGAAACGUUCUUUGGUCCUGCUUAGCUGCACACUGUGCUUUCUGUCACAAAAAAAUAAUAAAAACACUCCGAAUGUGGUGGUCGUUACUGCAAUCCCAAUGCAAUCUAACUUCACUCGCCUCAUGAGGUCUCUCCUCCGAUCGUAGUGAAUUUGUGAGGGAUCAGCAGAGGGAGAGGACCCUCAGAAGGGAGGAGAAGGCUGGCAGUGCUGUGCUGUUACUGAUGUGGGAGAAGCAGCACAGGGAGCUGAGUUUGCAGUUUGAUCCCUGUCCCUAAAUACUACUGGAAGUGGGCAGACCCAGAAGCAAAUUGCUCUCCAGCAAACACCAUUGAGCUGCUGGUGACAAUCCUAAGCAGUGGCCAUCCUGAUAUUGCUUGGUUCUGGGUGGGCCUUGUCCAAGCUUCACAACGCUGAGCACAGCCUCAUAGUACUUGAUGGAAAACACCACUGGUAAGAAAAAUAGAAGGGAACUAUGAGUGAUAAGGAAUGUCCUCUAAUCCCUUUUAGGCUUUUGUUGGAAAUUACAUGGCCGCCUCUUAUGCCUACGACUCUUCCAGGCAUCUACCCAUCCGCAUCCCUCAAACACACCCAUCCUUCUUCCCCUGCCUCCAGCAUGACACCUCUAAUUCACCCCCUUCCCUAAAAUCCAGUUAGCUGUGAUUCUAUUUUAUCUUCUUCGUGAUGAGCCCCAAGCUUUGCAGCAGGAAGGCAGGCUGCAGUAGGUGGGCACGCUCCAGUAACAGGGCUGUCACUGCAGCAGGGCCGAGGGUGGAUGGAGGAUGGAGGAAGAUGGAGACUGCUCUCACCUCAGCCUCCGGUCCUACUUCUCCCAGCCGAAGCUCCACCAUGCUGAUUUACGACUGCUCCUGAAUGCCUUGGAUGGAAUUAUAGCCCCUUGUAUUACAUAGUGCCUUCUCUGUUACUCUUGCUGCACGCCAUAGAUUUACGGUGGCUUUUAAACCAGACAGUGCAUGAAGAAAUACAAUCUUAACAAAACAUAGAAGGGACCAAGGGAGGUCAAAGUGUGGGAGCUGAACACCCUGUGGUGAUCCAGGAUUUCCCUUUAUUUACAGCUCACACCUUUUCAAUUUCAAGUGGAUUUUGGCUGUCUCUGACAGCUCUAACCAAUGGCUGGGGAGGAAUCUGCAGUCAGCUGUGCUGAGAGGCUUUGCCAUUAACAGGUUAACCAUAUCCUGCAUUUUCUGUACUUUUGAUGCUGAAGGAAAAUAAUUUAUGAUAGGCUUUCAUAGAGAAGUGGAGCAAAAGCUGUGCCUGACUUCCUCAAUAUGAUGGUGUGACAAGAAAACUAAUGCUGAAAGACAUCCAGCAGUCCAAAUGUGCACCUGCUCCUGCUAGCUUCCAGAGCAAAUGCUGUCUCCAAUUCUCUGAUAUAUUGCACUGCAAGCUCUUCCUAAAGCACAGGAAGUCAGACCAGAUCAGGCCUUGGAUGCUCCUUGGAAAUUUCACUGGCCGAUCGUCCACAUCUGAAGUACCUUAUCUUUGGAGAUCUGGACUCUAAUGGGGCAUAAGACAGGAAUCAGAACUGAUGGCCAACAAGAAACUGUUCUACCACGUGCAAUGCCUCAAUGUGUUGCCCUAGAAAGCUGAGGCUCAGGUCUUCUCCUGAGAUACAUGGUAUCCUCCAGAAUGGUAUUGAAGGAAUGGUGAGUGAUGUAAUAUUUGAGGAAGGGGAGAUGUGUGUCCUUCUGGAAUCCUCUUGUUCUCCACCUCUGUGUUUUCCAACCAAUUACUUAAUUCCUCAUACUGUGUCCUCACAGUAUGUGCUACAAAUGGUGACAUCAAAACCAAUAUAUUUUGCAAAUGCUAACAUUGCAGCAGGCUUUGCAGAAUAAUGGCUAUAUCAAUCCUUACUUAUAGUGUACUUUGAAUAUAGUGUCAUUAGUAACAGAACAUCUGUCAAAACCUCUCACAGUCUGAACAUGCUACCUCCUAUUUUUUUCAAUAUUAUGAUUGUAUUUCAUCAGUAGAUCCUAUGUAUUUGCUAAGUGGAGUUUCACUCAGUUCAGUCUUUGAUUGUUCAUGACGUGGAGAAGGUGAACAGGGAACAACUGUGUCUUGCCUCAUGUAGCAAGAGACCUAGGGAAUGGCAGGUUCAAAAUGCUCAAAAAGAGAUUUUUCUUCACAAGCUCUUAUGAUUAAGUAGUGGAGAUACUCCUUUCUGUUGAGUACACCAUGGUCCUCCCUGGCAAGGUCAACAGCAGCAGCUUAAAGAGCAGUGUGAGAGAGAGAUGUAUGUAAAUGGCUGCAGCAGGUGUAGCACUCCUGUCUCAGCUCAGGAUGGCUCCUCCAAGGGUUAGAGGCUAAUUUUGAGAAGAGGCUUUUUCAUUUUAAUUUGAAAGUUGUGAAAGGCUUUUGCAUGGUAGGAGCUCUAUCUCAAAAGAGCUUCUUCAGGAAACUCUACGGCACUUGUGUUUGUUUAGGUGCUUUUCCUUUUGAUAUGGUUGUUUUGCAGUAGUGACUUGGCUGGAAAAGAGGGUUUUUGGAGGUGAAUGUGGUGAGGAUAAAUCUCAAAGCUACCGCAAUUUGGGAGGCAUCCCUACUUUGUUUAGGAAAUAGACUUGCAACUAAAGGCCAUCUCGAGUUGACAGCAGACUUUGCGAGGGGUGAAAGUCCCUUGUACAGUGUGCUUCUGUACCUGUAAAAAAUCGGGUGCUUGAUUUACACAAGAGUCAUGAAGAUGUUCCUCUGGUUCUGUACUUUCCAUCAGGAGCCUCUUGUCCUUGCACUUGUUUUGUGCAGUCUAUUACAACAAUUCCAGUGGGACACAUAAUUCAGAUUCUGUAAUAGAAUGAAUGCACAGAGUCAUUGCUUAAACUGUACUGCAGCAGCACUUCUUGCUGCUGCUAUGUACAUUUAAUAACAAAAGGUCAAAAUACUGCAUCAACAUAGAAAGAGUCAUUUGAUCUCUUUAUCUGUAGAACAGGGAUAAUAUUCUUUGCUUAUGUUCCAAGACUUGCUGCAAAUUUGAGGACAGAAAAACUGAAGAUUUUCUUUAGUAUUGCUAAGAUAGAUUGUGAUGACUGUCAGAUACUGGUUAAACUGGAGGGGCUGAGCUUUUUAUUCCUGCUUUUGCUGUAUACCUGACAGUUGGAGGUGAAUGCAGCCUUUUGUUUCCUACACAACAAAAGGUUCAAAUAUAAACCAUGCUACUGAUAAAAUAAGAACAGAAAUUGCGGGUCAGUUCUAAACUUGGAAAAUGCUCGGGGUUUUUUUUGUUUUUGUGCUGGUAAAUCUACAUUCUCAUCAUGUGGAAAAAAACCAGACUCUUAAUACAGCUUUAGUUUUCUACUUUAUAGCUACAAGCAGAAAACAGCCAUGAAUCAAUAACGGGGGCCUGUAAACACUCUUCUGGCUCUAUAGCCUACUUAAUGUCAACCAAGAGCUGCAGUAAACCACAAUUCCCCAGCUGCAAUAAAUGCUACAGGCUCCAGAGCAGAGCACAAAGUUUAAUUAAAAGUAAUCUGAUACAUAUAAAUCCGCUGACGCAAUCUCUCACUCUUGCAUCUGAAAUAUAUAUAAGGCUCUUCCUGGAGACAUUGGAUGAUUUAGACUUCAAUUUCACUUAAGAAGCCUCUCACAUAAUACUAUCCAGUGAGUCUCUGUGCACACAGCAUAAAGACAUCCUGUUAACUAAAUGCAUUGAUCUCCCUUUGCUUUACAUGCCGAGUGUAUCAGCUGUUGAGUUAUUUGGCUAAUUUAAGAGACUUGGCAACAUUUUCCCGUGCUCUAAAUAGCCAGACAUCUCUGAACUUUCAGGAGUAACUACACUUGGCAAUUAAUGGAUAAUGACAACACUGCUGUAAUGUAUUAUCUUUUGGCAAUAAGUAAGCUCAGCAGUUUUGAGGAUGUCUCACUAAUGCUUUAGCAUCAGACAGACUCUGCUCAUGUUAGCUGUGUUUGACAAGAUGUUCUGUUGAUGUUUAAUGAUACACAGCCCCUUGCUGAUUUGCGUCCUGAGUCUGUCCUGGCUCUGCACACAUCGUCCUUCUCUCCUCCCCGUGCACCGUGGCUGCCUUAUGGAAUCACAGUAAAGUCUGGGUCAGACAUCCUCUCUGGAGAUCACCCGGUCCAAACCACAGAAACAGAGACUUAGGUUAGGUCAUCCUGGAUACUGUCCAGCAAAGUCUAGGAUAUUUCCAGUGAGAAAAGUGCACACCUUUGUUAUCUGAGGAUGCAAAAGAGUCCCGUUCGCGCCUCAUGCUAUAGUCCUGGCACUGAUGGUGUCUCUGGACUAACAGUAUAUUCAUGCUAAUUUUUCUGAAACUAGAAAAGGCAGAGGAUGACAACUGCUAUGGGACCUGGGAACAACACUUAAGGCUUAGAUGGCUUUCCUUUCUCAGCACUUUUUCCUCAGAAAAUAAAAGCAUCUAAAAAUAAAUAUUUGUUUUUAAAAUAAAUAAAUAUAUAUAUCUAAAGACACUAAUGAGUCCUGUCAUAAAGUGUAUUAAAGCAGUAUUCUAAAGGCAAAACAGCUUCUCACACAAAAUGACAUACACGUUUCUAAUUAGCUCCCAGAAAAUUAGGGUUCACUCAUGCGAGGGACCAAAUAACAUUACUUUGUAACUCCGAACAAAUAUUAAUCUCUUCCUCUCAUUUUUGUCCGUAGUGCUUUUUGUGGAUUUGUAUCCAUACAGAGUUUUCGCUGGUAUGCCAUCCGUUCGUGCAUUUCUAAACAAAAGCGAGACAUGGAGUCUUCAUGGCCAAAACUUUUCUUGCAUUCUUGCAUCUGUGGCCAAAAUGUAGCUAACUGGAUCCGUAGAGAUAGAUCUUGUAUUCAUGAUUGUUGUGAGAAACCUCCCAGAGCUUAUUGAAUUAGGGAUAUCCCAGUCAGCUAUUGUUAGACUUUAAGAGACGUUUUGCAGUUAGAGGAGGCUUUAAAUAAUAAUAAUAAUAAAAACAGAGUUUCUUUUUAUUAACUGAAGCUCUGUUUACAUCAGUAAGGAUACACAAAUCAAAGCAACAAAAUGUAUGGCCUGCAGUUAAAGGAUUUAGCUUCAAGAAAAGAAAAUGAAACAAACCAGAACAACAACAACAAACAUUGAACAGCAAUUAUUUAUCAAGAUAUAGGCCUUAAACCAAAUUUUGCUUUUUUCAUUGCAUUCAUGGCAGUUGUCUUGUUAUGAGUAGAGUGACGUGGAAGGUAAAGCCAAGGGAAAUGGGUUCAAACUGCAUCAUAAAGAAGUUCAAAUAUUCAAGGAACAGUAAUAUGUUUAAAACACACACACACAAAAGAGAAAGAAACCUGGGGGGAAAAAUUUCUACUUGCUUCUUCUUACAUUUUUUGCUUUUUGGAUUGAUCGAUAGAGUAAAUGUGGUAAAGGCACAGUGAUCUUUUACACAUUUAUUUCAAGUCUGUUGUUGUAACUAACUAGGAGUUCCUGAAGAGCAGAAUGAAGCCUGGAUAUACACUAAUGGAUUGCUAUUUGUAAUUCAUACCCUGAAAUGUAUCCAGCCUGGUGCUAAAACCAAACAUUUAGUAGGCUAAAAGUAAUACAAGCCAAGGUACAUUUGACAGCCAAUAAGAUGACGUUUGUCCAUUUUCUCCUAAAGGAGAGGAAAAUUGUGAACAUGGAAAAUAGAAGCAGGAGGAAGGAAGGACGUAGAGAGUGACUCAACAGGUCAUGAAAAUGUGAGGUUGCAUAUAUGCAACAUGAUCAAGUUGGAAAAAUAAUCUGUUGAGCCAGAAGGACAGCAAGAUGAACUAGUAGUGGAAGAAGUCUGCUAAGUCAGGAGGUAGAAAUCUGAUGCUGGAGGGAGUCUGAAGAUGAGUCUGAUCAAUCCAGUCUGAGUUUCUCAAAAUGUAAAUUAUUCCUGGCCAACAGGACACACUGAGGUGUCCCUGCUCCCUGCCUAUAACAGGGGGUUGGCAGUAGGUCAUCUUAAAAGUCCCUUCCAACCCAAACCAUUCUAUGAUUCUAUGAUUCUGUGAACUGUAUGUACUGGCUUAAAAUAAUUCCACGUGAAACAGCCUCAAGACUGAAAAUUUGCCUAGAGCAGCAUUUGAACUCUCAAAUGUGUGAGGUUCAGCAAGCCAAGUGAGAGCCAGAAGGAUCUCCUGCAGUUCAAUAUUCAACAGAUGUUAAAGCUUUUGUGUUCCCCAUGUGCAAGGAGUCAUGGAAAAAAGAGUCAAGGGAGAAGAAAUUUUAGAAGCAUCGUUCCUGACUUGCAGGUGUAAAUGUCCACUGAACAUUGAAGUAAAUAGGGAAGAAAUGGCAAAGAGAGGAAUAAGAAAGAAACAUGGAAGCUGAAAAUGACAGCGUUUCAGUACUGUUAAAGCUGUCAGUAUGUAUAUGAAGAUGAUGAAGAAAUGUAAUACUGGUUUAAUAUAACACAUCAUAUUGAAAUAAAGAGAAUCCGAAGAGAGGCUGGCAGAAGGUCUGACAGGGUCAUCAGAGAGCUCUGAGGCAUGACAUGGGCAGAGACAUCAAAAACAUAAACUGGGGGCUUCACCUUCCAAACUCUGGGAAAUCGUGUUUGUUUGCUAGUCUUAGAGCUGAGAUUCUGGGAUGUACACGCAAGGCUCCCUAGCAAAGACAGAAAGUGAGACACCUGAAAUUCUCUGAAAUUUUAAUGAAGCAAAUCAGUAGGAGUAACAGAAAUGAGAAAGAAAAGCACUGAUGCUCUAGUGCUCAUGACUUACAAACCCCCAAAAUGAACAUCUCAACGUCUUCCUUCCUUGCUUCAUAUAAAUUUUACGUAUUUUCCAAGUACAACAGUGCCUUCCUACAGAAUUUCUCAACUCUACUGCAAGUGUUACUGACGAAACAUAAAGCUGCUCUUUGAAAGAAGAAUUACUUUCCCUUUUGGCACUUUUGAAUAACUUCUCUUUCAACUUGGUGUUCUUUCCCCCCCAAGAUCUGGGUUACAGAGCUGCUUACUUCAGUCCUCGGCGGAGGCCUAUUUGUAUUGGCUUUGAUGUAAGCGGUAAGCUUCUUGGUUUAAUUUUAAUGUUCCAAGGGAAGAGUUUAUUCACAAAUGUAUUACACAGCAUGAAAUCUUCAUGGAAGAACAAUGCGUAGUGGAUUUGGUUGGGAAAAUUAUUACAAAAGCGAUGUUCUCUUAGUAUAAAAAAAACGAUGUGUUUUCAUGAAGAACAAAGAGAGUGGGCAAGAUGGAAAAGACAGGCUUUGGCUGCAAAACAACGUGCAGUGUGUGCCCAGUAGGUGAAGUACACAUGCAGGCUAGAAUGAGAGCUGCUGCAGAAAAGAAAUCCUGAUUUCCAAGCAACAAGUUCAGAAUGCAGCCUGCUGAGCUUGCUGCUUUGCUGUUGUGUUCUUUAGCAGUGCCCUGUGCAAGAUUCUGUAUACCUUGUGAGCGUCGCAGUUGACUUUUAUUAUGCCUUUUAACCCUCUGUGGUCAUUUGCGCAGCACCGGCAGCACAGGUCGUAUUUAAGAGCAGCGAGACAGUGCUGUGCUCGAGGCUGGGCAGCUCCCAGGAGUGUCGCUGUGACUGUAAGCCCUGCUCCACUGUCAGCCACCCUUUCUUCACAUAGGAAUUCUUGCCAGCAGUGAAAGUGCCGAAUAUACAGGGGG